rnacentral:rRNA from 1 species
CCCUUAGAUGUUCUGGGCAGCACGCGCGCUACAAUGGUCUUCGCAAACGGAUGCAUUCUCGAAGGAGAAUGCCAAUCUUGGAAUCUAUGCCUUGGUCGGGACAGUUGCUUGCAAUUUUUCGACUCGAACCAGGAAUUCCUUGUAAUCGUGAUUCAUCACAUCACGAUGAAUAUGUCCCUGCCCUUUGUACACACCGCCCGUCGCUCCUACCGAUCGAAGAGUUAGGUGAAUUGUUUUGAUCGAUAAGAUUUGACUAUGGUCAACUCUCGUUGUGAAAUUCUGUGAAUCUGACUGUUUAGAGGAAGGAAAAGUCGUAACA